AAAAAUAUUUUGCAUCUUCAAUGUGGUAGGUGAAUACUUUCGCGAGCCACUGUAAGUACUUUACUUAGUUGUGGUGGUGGGAUCCACAAGUCCCCAUAACAGACAUGCAAGCAGCUAUGUCUUUGAACACAUCCACCCAGAGCCUUUGCACACACACAUGGAAAGGGUGUGUGUCAUUGAAGAUUGAGGGAAGGAAAGGAAAGCUGCCCAAGCUGGUACAGAAGAUUUAUCAACUCUACUCCUUAAAGAACCGCAAUUACUAUUACCAAUGCUAUUUGAAGAGCUCUCUCCCUCUCUCCAUCUCUCCCCCUCUCUCUCUCCCCCUCUCUCUCUCUUUCUUUCUCUCUUUUCCCUGUCACACUUUCUCAGGUCUGUCUCCUUUCUCCCAAUGUGCCACAAUAAUUCCACAGCUGCUCUCCUUAUUGAUGUUCACCGUCACAGCUUGCACACCCUCAUCUCUCCUCUCCUGUGUGUGUGCACGUGUGUGUUUAAAAGAGCAUCUGUACGAGAGCCUAUGCACAAGAGUGUGUGUGUGCUCAUAGCGUUGGUACGUGUGUGUGUGUAUGAGUGCAUACUUAUAUCGGUGUGUCUGAGACUGAGAAAAUAUAGUUGAAGUGGUGUCAGGACGAGAUAUUGCUGAAUUACUCAGUCAUGGAGGUGUCAUCAGUGUCUCCUCUCAUGCUUGGCUGUGCCCUCUCCCCCAGCCCACUACCACUCCCCUACUCCCUUUCCAAGUUUAAGCAACCCACCCCACCUGAGAAGAUUUCAAUAAUCUACUCUCUACAGUGGGGUGGUUUUCCAGCACAUUGCACAGGCAAGCUCCCCCCCCCCCCCAAUAGGCCCAGGGAGGGUAGAGCCCCUGCCUGCCCAGGCUCACCGAGGCUUUCCUGGGAAGAGGGCGCUCAGUGCUCCCUUAUCUCUGGACCAAAGGGGGGUCUCCACCAACACCUACACCACACUGCAUCUCCAAUAUGAAUCCAAUUUGAAAUCUGCAUUGAUGGAAUGGAUGUGAUUUUCAUCUGACAUAACGUAUACAGAUCAUACAUUAUUCAUUUGUUUAUUUUACAGCUGAGGCUGUUGUAUUAUAAUGAUAUAUUUGUUGUUAAUAUAUACGUGGGGCAUAAUGUGUAUUUAUGUUCUGCUCAUUACUGUAAGCGCUGUGAAUAUUAAUGCACUGGAAUAUUAAUGCACUAGGUAAUGUGAUUUACGCCCGUCGUACAUCAACCGAGCACAGUUUAUCUCUUUCCCUCUCCCCCUCUCUGUCUCUCUCGCUCUUAAUGUGUCUGUGAUGGAGAGGAUGUGAAGGUCAUACCUUUGUGUGUUUUUCUGCGUAACUUAAUGAAGGCGGAGGAGAGACAAUCUGGAGGCAAACAGCCUUGCACGCACACACACACACACACACACACACACACACACACACAGCCGCAUGUCACACUGGUGGGUGAUAACAUAAUUAGAGCUAGCACACUCUGCCAUGCUAUUGUGGUUCUGCUUGGCUGUGAGAUUUUGGCAUUGGAGGCAGGAAGGACAUUGCCACCCAAUCUUUUUGUGUGUGAUGUUAUGCAGACUGUAUCAGUCAUUAGUCCUUUGAUUUCAUGCAUCCUGCCUGUGUUGUCAGACAGACAUUGUAAGUCAGCCUUACACUACACGUUCUCUUAAGGGGCAAGGCCACAGCUGAUUGUGUCCUAUUCAGUGUGGGUCCUUUCCUCAUGAGAAUAAAGCACAGCUUGCACACUUAAAUACCUCAAGCACACCUUCAUUCAUUCUCAAUCCAAUUGGACCAGUUCUUUCCCCUCAGCAAAAAUACCCUUUAUCUCUGUACUAUAUUAUACAGUUGGAGCAUGUAGUCCUAUAGAGCAGCCAGUAACAGCACUGCUGAGGCUCCCUAAGGCUAAUGGCAGUCACAUGUCACACCGCUGCCUACUAUUCCAUCUGAGGCCUUUCAUGCACGCACGUACACACACACACACACACACACACACACACACACACACACACACACACCGUUGCCAUAUUACUGUCACUUCUGAGGAUUACUGCACUGGAGGGCUUAUCCUCAGACUCAGAGAACCACAGACAGACAGACACAAACAAAAACAACCAGAGAUGGAGGGUUGGAGAGGGAGAGGGGGGACAGUGAAGAAGGCAGCCUGGCAGAAAAAGAUGGAGGGGGACUGGGAGAGACGGUCUAAAUCUGGAGCCGUGGCCGAGCGCGGCCUGCCUCACCCGAUAACAGAAUUACUGCAAAUGUACGUUUUGAGAUGCUGCUUCCACCAUCACUCUGCUCUCUCUGGGAUUUAUGGCUUCUGGUGAAAUUAUUCUCUCUGAGAAAGGGAGGAAGAGAUGGAGAGAGAGGGAAAGUGGAGAGGUGGAGAGAGAAAGAGGGAUAGAGAGGGAAGGAAGUGGAAAGGUAGAGAGAGAGCAAUGGAGAGAGUUGAGACGUAGAUGGAGGGAGGGAACCCAGCAAACAGUGUGGAUACAUUAUACUACUACAACACAAGCGAGCUAACAUAGUUUACCCCAGUAUGAGUAAUAUUACCCAUAAAAGGUAGCAGUCAAACACAGAAAUAAUUUUUCAUUUUAUCCAUUGUUGAUUUUAGAAAUGCUUCAAAUAAGGGCAGUGUUUCGUGUAGUCUUACCAUAGCGUGAUGUUUUGAUAGCUGUGUAAAUCUCUCUUGGACACGGUGACUUUUAUCAAUAUAUUACCCUGUAUUUGCUGCUGCUAAUGUGGCUAUCAUACAGAACUACAAAUGCCUGUCUCAAAUGCCUGUCUUAUUUGCACAUUCUCUAUUCCAGAACCAUUGGGUGUGAUUGAGACUUAUCACCUCUCAACUAGGUCAGCUGUUUCAACCUGGAACCUGGUCUGUUUUAGUCAUUGCAGGAAGUCCUGAAGAGUAGGAGUGUGUGAAGGGUUUUGUCCCAGCCCAGCUCUAACAGCUGACUUAAAUAAUCAACAUACCGAAUCAUGGGCUGAAACAAAAGCUUAUACACAGUCCUGCCAUUCAGAUCUGGAGCUGUCCACCCGUUUAAGUCAAUAUUCUGUACUAUGAAUACAACUGGGGGCGGGGUUAUUGAUGCUCCACUAUCAAGUUGAAGUUUGAACUUGUUUACUGAUGCCAUGGCGGUGGCUGCUAAAAAGAAUGGAGCAGCUACUAACCAGGAGACUGCAGCUAAGGCAGCAAUGGUCCACACCUACCCUGUCUGUCGGACCUGAAGACAUUCAAGCAGCACUUUGAUAGCAAGCAUCCCAAGUCUCCAAUGGUCCCAAUGCAGGCCUAAGGGACCACAUACACUCAAAUGGACCUACAGCUGGGACACACGAUGGCCACGAUUUGAAUGCUACAACUGAGACAGAAUGAUGUCAAGGGACACGCCGAGACCCCGAGUAUGACUGGACAUGGGCCGGAUAUUUGUGACAACAACCGAAAAGGGCUGCAGAAGUACACCAGCACCACAUUUUAUAUUUAUUCCAUGGCCAACCACCUCUCUAGCUCCACCUUACUCCACGCUAUGCCUUUUAUGCCCCAUGGUUCCUCAAAUUCGGACACUCCAUCUUAUCUCUAUAAACCCACCCUACCUUCACCCAUUCCCCUUUGCUGCUUCCUUCACUUGUUCUUCCCUUGAUUUGAUAACAUCUAGACUCAAUAACACGUUUAAUAGUGUUGUGGUGUACUGUUUUUGCUACCUUUUUUCCAGCUGUGUAAUGCUGUCCUCCUUAUUCUGGGGUUCAGGCUGAAUGCAGUGGUAAAUGUGCUGCUCAUAAUUGACAGCAGCAACAUGGACCUGUUAAAUUGACCAGAAGGGUGUUGAUAUAGCUGAUUUUAGACAUGGCUUCCUUGUUUUCAGUCUGUUAAGUGUGUUUCUCAUUCUGCUGGAGUUGACCUAGUAUUUUAUAUAAAACCUACCUCACGCAUCCAGUUUUUCCAUUUGUAACUCACCCACCAAAAUCACAAUAUACUGUUGUGUUAUUUAUGCUGGUCUAAUUCCUAAACUGGAAAAGCAGAAGAAUAUUUGCACUGUUGGAUAGUAAUAAUAGUUUAUAUGGUGCUCUUCGAUGUUCCAGGUUUGUGACAUUGAUGAUUAAAUCAUUGAAAGUUUACUUAAAUUCAGAUGUUUAUGUGUUAUGUAUAAAAGGCAUAUGUAUGCAUUGUUUACUAUUUUGAUUUCUUUAAAACAAUGUAAUUGUUGGAGUUCAGGUGUAUGACAUGAUUGAUGGAUGCCUAGGUGUCUUUUUGUCAAAUAAAUCUGCUUUU